rnacentral:rRNA from 2 species
CUGGUGUCAGCCGCCGCGGUAAUACCAGCACCUCGAGUGGUCAGGACGUUUAUUGGGCCUAAAGCAUCCGUAGCCGGCUCUGCAAGUCUUCGGUUAAAUCCACCUGCUCAACAGAUGGGCUGCUGGAGAUACUACAGAGCUAGGGAGUGGGAGAGGCAGACGGUAUUCAGUGGGUAGGGGUAAAAUCCUCUGAUCCAUUGAGGACCACCAGUGGCGAAGGCGGUCUGCCAGAACACGUUCGACGGUGAGGGAUGAAAGCUGGGGGAGCAAACCGGAUUAGAUACCCGGGUAGUCCCAGCUGUAAACGAUGCAAACUCGGUGAUGCAUUGGCUUAUGGCCAAUGCAGUGCCGCAGGGAAGCCGUUAAGUUUGCCGCCUGGGAAGUACGGAAGCAAGUCUGAAACUUAAAG